rnacentral:rRNA from 1 species
UACGAAGGGGGCUAGCGUUGCUCGGAAUCACUGGGCGCAAAGCGCACGUAGGCGGAUUGUUAAGUCAGGGGUGAAAUCCUGGAGCUCAACUCCAGAACUGCCUUUGAUACUGGCGAUCUCGAGUCCGGGAGAGGUGAGUGGAACUGCGAGUGUAGAGGUGAAAUUCGUAGAUAUUCGCAAGAACACCAGUGGCGAAGGCGGCUCACUGGCCCGGUACUGACGCUGAGGUGCGAAAGCGUGGGGAGCAAACAGGG